rnacentral:rRNA from 1 species
GAUGAACGCUAGCUACAGGCUUAACACAUGCAAGUCGAGGGGCAGCGGGAUUGAAGCUUGCUUCAAUUCGCCGGCGACCGGCGCACGGGUGAGUAGCGCGUAUCCAACCUUCCGUACACUCAGGGAUAGCCUUUCGAAAGAAAGAUUAAUACCCGAUGGCAUAGUUCUUCCGCAUGGUAGAACUAUUAAAGAAUUUCGGUCAUCGAUGGGGAUGCGUUCCAUUAGGUUGUUGGCGGGUAACGGCCCACCAAGCCUUCGAUGGAUAGGGGUUCUGAGAGGAAGGUCCCCCACAUUGGAACUGAGACACGGUCCAAACUCCUACGGGAGGCAGCAGUGAGGAAUAUUGGUCAAUGGACGAGAGUCUGAACCAGCCAAGUAGCGUGAAGGAUGACUGCCCUAUGGGUUGUAAACUUCUUUUAUACGGGAAUAAAGUGAGCCACGUGUGGCUUUUUGUAUGUACCGUAUGAAUAAGGAUCGGCUAACUCCGUG